rnacentral:misc_RNA from 1 species
GGAAGUAAAAGUCUAACAAGGUUUCCGUAGGUGAACCUGCGGAAGGAUCAUUAUUGUAUAACCGAGGUGCGAGGGCUGUCGCUGACCCGAAAGGUCGUGCACGCCCGAGUGCCCUCACACACAUCCAUCUCACCCCUAUGUGCACCACCGCGUGGGUCCCCCUUUGGCUUGUUCGGAGGGGGGCUUACGUUUUCACACAAACUUUGUAUGCAGUGUAGAAUGUAUUUUUUGUUUUUGCGAUCACGCAAUCAACACAACUUUCAACAACGGAUCUCUUGGCUCUC